rnacentral:ribozyme from 1 species
ACAGUGCUGCACGGAAAAAUCCCCUAAACUGUGUCAGCGAAGUGUGAAGCAUGGAAGGGUGAAAAGGGUCGGUUAGGAAAUCACCGAGAAACUUGAGCAACGGACGGU